rnacentral:rRNA from 1 species
GUGAGUAACANGUAUCCAANCUGCCGAUGACUCGGGGNUNGCCUUUCNAANGAAANAUUAAUACCCGAUGGCAUNNUUCUUCCGCAUGGUAGAACUAUUAAAGAAUUUCGGUCAUCGAUGGGGAUGCGUUCCAUUAGGUUGUUGGCGGGGUAACGGCCCACCAAGCCUUCGAUGGAUAGGGGUUCUGAGAGGAAGGUCCCCCACAUUGGAACUGAGACACGGUCCAAACUCCUACGGGAGGCAGCAGUGAGGAAUAUUGGUCAAUGGACGAGAGUCUGAACCAGCCAAGUAGCGUGAAGGAUGACUGCCCUAUGGGUUGUAAACUUCUUUUAUACGGGAAUAAAGUGAGGCACGUGUGCCUUUUUGUAUGUACCGUAUGAAUAAGGAUCGGCUAACUCCGUGCCAGCAGCCGCGGUAAUACGGAGGAUCCGAGCGUUAUCCGGAUUUAUUGGGUUUAAAGGGAGCGUANGCGGACGCUUAAGUCAGUUGUGAAAGUUUGCGGCUCAACCGUAAAAUUGCAGUUGAUACUGGGUGUCUUGAGUACAGCANANGCAGGCGGAAUUCGUGGUGUAGCGGUGAAAUGCUUAGAUAUCACGAAGAACUCC